GUUUUUAUUUUUUACAGUUUAAAAUUUAAAUGAGAAGGAUAUGUAUGGUGCCUUGGGUGAACAAGAAAAGGAAAAAGCGAAGGAAACAUGCGAUGAGAGCGGCUAAAGAAUAACCGAAAUAGCAGAGAUGAUGCAAAAAAGCAUAUCCUCUUUACUUUUUUCAUUUGAAAGCCGAGGUUCCGUAACUGCCAUUGUUAUGCAAUGUCACAUA
rnacentral:lncRNA from 1 species